GAAAAGAAAAGAAAAGAAAAGAAAAACUGAUUGUCAUACCAAUCGCGUUAUCCCCCGGGAAAAAGGAAUUUGGCUUUUUUCGGAGGAUUGUUUUUUAUAUGAUUUCUUCUCUUUAAGGAGCUGGCCGAUUAUGGCUAUGGAGAGUGGAACCUCGACAUUUGGUAAUCCUCUUUUUCUUCCGCUGACCACUUCUCUUUAUAACGACUACGCCAGCUUUGAUAAUACUGCAACUAUGGGCCUUUGAUUUUUGUGUUCUCCAAUUAUUUCGUUUUAUGGACCCUCAAUUUUCUUCUACAGUUGACUGCACCAAGAUUUAACUUUCAUGGAAGUUUCUGUUUGGUUGAAAUUUGGAAACCUUGCGGGAGAUUCGAGGGUUUUUAUUAGGGUUUCUUAUCCGCCAAUACUUGCGACAAACAUCGAUGUCAUUCCAAUUCGGCAAACCCUGUGAGGUUUUUUUUAUUUUGCUUGGAGGAUGUUAACAGUUUUCUUUACGUUCAAUCAACCCUCUGAAAGCUGAGGCCGAGAAUUGAGCUUUCGGUUCUGAAUUUUUGUUCUUUUUUCUUUUUUUUCCCUUGUGGGUUCAUUCUGGGGGUUUGAAUUUUGUACUUUAUGGUUUGGGAUUGGGGGUUUUAAGAUUUAGGACGAUGGACGAAUCGCAGUGCAGUUCGAAUACGUUGCCUCCUUUCCUGACAAAGACUUACGAGAUGGUCAAUGAUCCUUCCACGGACCCAAUUGUAUCCUGGACUUCAGGUAAUAAGAGUUUUAUUGUGUGGAAUCCAUUGGAGUUUUCGUGCGAACUGCUGCCCAGAUUCUUCAAGCAUAACAAUUUCUCAAGCUUCAUCAGACAGCUUAAUACAUAUGAAAGUGGAUCCAGAGAAAUGGGAGUUUGCCAAUGAGGAUUUUGAAAAGGGUCGGCCAGAUCUUUUGCGGAACAUCCACAGAAGAAAACCGGUUCAUAGUCAUUCAUUGCAGAAUGUUCAAGGACAAGGAUUUCCAACUCCAUUGUUGGAUCUUGAGAGGAAGAGAUUCAAGGAAGAGAUUGAGAGGCUUAACCAAACUAAUGAAAAGCUUCUUCUUGAGUCGCAGAGACAUGAACAAGAGCAUCGUGAUUUUCAGUUGCAAAUGCGAUUAAUGAAAGAGCGGUUUGAAAAUAUGCAGCAACAGCAGCAAAUAUUGCUUUCUCAUGUUGCUCGUGUUUUGCAGAAACCAGAAUUGACGAUUUAUUUUGUGCCAGAAUCAGAUUCUCAUGAUAGAAAGAGGAGGUUGACAACAGUCAGCUACUACUACAAUGAAUCCAGUGCCGAGGAUGAUCUAGCAGAGCAUUCUCAUUCAAUGUCAAAACAGCAAAUAGAUUAUUCUUUAACCUCAGACUUAAACAUGGAGCAGCUUGACCAGUUAGAUUCAUCCCUAUCAUUUUGGGAGAGGACCAUUCACGAUGUUGAUCAUGCUAUAUUUUUAUCUAACAUGAAGUUCAAUCAAACCAAAAGAGACAUUCAAAGCCCACCAACUCCUUUACAACUAGAAAGGAGUCAUCAUUCCAAGUCCCAUGUUAUUGACAUGAAUUCAGAACCUGUUGGAAGUAUUGCUUCUGAUUCCAUUGCAUCAAGAAAAGAAGCUGAUGAAACUACUGCAAGUGCACGUAAUGGGGCAAAUGAUGUGUUUUGGGAACAGUUCUUGACUGAGAAUCCUGGUUCAUCCGAUCUUCCAAAAGUUGCAUCAGAAGGAAAGGAUUCCGAUAAUGGAAGAAAGAAUGAGAGUAAGUCCAGAGGCUUUGGAAAACUUUGGUGGACUGGGAACAAGAUAAAUAACCUUGCAGAACAGAUGGAACACCUUACUCCAACUGAGAAAACAUGAAAUUCUUUCAUCUUUUUUGAAGUGACGAUGCUUUGUUGCACGUGUGCAAUAAAUUUAGACACUAGUCAGCAUUUGGAAGGAUAAUAUCAUAAAACACUAAUCGCGUGUGAUUAUUCACAUAGGUCAGGAAGGUUAGUUUUAGCUUGCUGCUGCCUUUUGUCUUUUACAGUCCAAUGUUCUUUUCAGAAAUCUGUUAUUACUUAUUGGCUACAUCAUGCAGUGAUGAUCGAGCUAUUUCUUGUUGGAUUAAUUUAGACAUGCAUUAAUAAUGCUAGGUUUUUGCAUCAUACAUGCUAAAACAUGAGGCUCUUAUGUUGUAUUGAGAGGCAAUGGCUUGCAUCUUUGUUCCUAUUUAACUGGUUCUAAAAUUUGUUUAUGUUUCUUCGAAAACCAAUGUAAAGCUUGAUGCAUAGCCAUAUGCUUGGGAGUGUUAAAGUUUUGUUUGCUGCCUUUGACAGCCAGACAGGUAAUGCUGGCAACUCGAUAUUUCAAUAUCUCCCCUAACAUUAAUUUUCAUCACAACUUGGUUUUCAUUCUACAUUAUGCUGUUCCAAAUUGGUGCUGAAACUGAAAGGAUAUGAUGUAUGGAGGUUCUUAUUGUGGAUUUAUCUAUUUUACAUCAGUUUGACUUAUGCUAUAUGAACCCUUUCCUUCUAUUUUACCAAAUAAGUAUCUACAGUUCAAAUUUUUUCAUCAUGGAUGUUUUUGACGUGGUUUGACUUGUAUAGACUGUGUAACAGAUUCGAAUGCAAUCUAUUGUGGUUUCAACUACAAGGAUGCAGGAUUAGAUUUAGUUUCCCUGAUUAUCGCAGAUAAUUUUGCAUGCGGAGUGAAACUCGAGUAGUGUCACAAGCUGCAGCUGCAAUCUUGGAUAGAUCCAUUCAUCGGGAAGUUGCUAUUCUAUCAUGAACACAAAGACCUUCGGGUAGAAUCAAAGUGGUAGAAACCGUCAAUGAUCCUAAAGCUAGGGAAUCAUUUGUAUAAAUAGUGAUACUGGAUUUUGGAGUGUUUAACCUCUCUAGUGAAACACAGGUAAUGGGAGAUAGAACCUGUUUUUUUCCAUUUAAAUUUGUUUCUUUUUAUGUAUCCGUUAUUUCCAUUUUUCUGUCAGAACAUGAAUCUCAGCCUUGCUUUAGGUUAAGCCCGCCAUUGGAGCCAGUUUGAUCAUACAUAUUUUGAGAUAAUUAAGAAAAAGCAAGUUUGCAGUUGUAUCGUUUAAAAGAAGUGCUCGUCCUGUUUGUAGUGAACAUUUGAGGACUACUCAGCAUUUCCAUGAGAUGGAUCAAUUUAGGGUUCUUUAUUCUUGGCA